CACCCUCACAGAGAACAAUUCCAUCCCAAUAUCCCAUCUAACCCUGUCCCCUGGCAGUGGGAAGCCACUCCCCUUGUUCUUGUCACUAUCUGACCUUACAAAAUGUCCCUGUCCCUCUUUAUAAGCCCCCUUAUAUCUCCUUUUCUCUCUAUUACCUCUUACUAGACCACUAAACAGUUGAGGAGGAGCCAGGCCAUGGGGCCACUGUCUUUCUGCAGGGUAGGAGACAAGCAGCAAAGCUUCAGCUAAAUGCGGGUGGAGGUGCUCAGAAUCCAACUGCUUUAUGUGAUCCCACUGCACACUGAGGGAAAAGCAGGCAUGUAGGAGGCAUGUUGGAUGUUUACAAGGUGGGGAUAUAAAUUUGGGGGUGGUGAAAGAGUGGGAGUCAGCAGGAAGGAGGGUGUGUAUAAGUGGCAACAUGGAACAGAGAAAUAAUUUCUUGCCCUCCCAAAGGCCUUAGGGGAUGGUAAGGCUGCCCCUUCCUCCAGCUGAGAUUAAUGUUAUUCACUGUGCAAGCCAAUGAAGUGGAAUUUGGCAUGUGUUUGCAGCUCUGGUUCUGUGCUGGGUUGGAUCAGGAGCACUGUGCAGGGGCACUGAGGCAUGAGCUCCAUCCACCUCCUCUUGGGGAGAACUGUCCAGCUGGCAGGGCUGUGCCAGGGGUCAGACUUCCCUGAGCAGUGCUUCCCUGCAGGCUGGGCUGGAACAAAGCCCUGCUUAGCCCAGGUGAGAGUAAUCCUGUGGGAAUCAGCAGGGGCGUGAGUAGGGUACCCCUCCCCCACGCAGUCACUGUGCAGAGCGAGGGUACCCAACCCCCAAACUGCUCUUCCAUCCCUUCUGCCUGCCCCCACAGGCUCACUGGUGUUGGACAAACCAGAGUUUUCAGUCUCAGGGACGGUUUCCUGGUGUGGGGCCUCUGGGUUGUCCUUCACCACACCACAGAUUGCUUUUUCUUUCACCCACUCUGCAAAUCUGAACAUGAGCAAUGUGCUGCCUGGGGCUUUAGGGAGCUGCCCUCCUGUCGCAGUAUGGCAGGAAAAAAAUUCCCUUUUAGUAUUGGGAAGAGAAAUUAUACAUUUUGCUCUGAUGGUCACUUCCCUGGUACUUCCAGCAUCCCCUGCCCACUGCCGAGGCAGCAGCCAGACCACUUCUCUUUUGGGGUGGAUUGGUGCCUGUGAUUCCACUGUGGCACUGGGAAUCACUCCUGGUGUAGUUCUGCAGCCCAGGCUGGGUUUGUGCAGCCCUCAGCAGCACUGAUUGGUCUCAGAUGUGAGCCAGGGAAGUUCUUGCUCUCUAAAAGCAAACUGAAGGUGAAGAGGGGAAGGUGUAGAAAGCUUGGUGGUGCUGUGCUUUUGAAGUCAGCUCAGGGUUAAUUUUUUUUUAACCAGCAACUCUUCCUUGGGGCUUUCUUUUGAUGGGGAAUUUCUGUUCUUUGCUCAGUGUUUUGCUGUGGCAACUCUGCAUGUCUCUGUCCACUGUGGUUCAGUUCCAGUAUUUUUCUAGUUUUAUUAGGUUUUUCUGGUGUUUAUUAUUAUUGUACCCUUAUUUUUUCUCCAGUAGUAACACAAUAGAAAUCCGUUUGUGCCUCCAACAACUCCCAGGAGGGAAAGGUUUUCCAGGGUCUCUUAGACACACACCACUUUUGUAUCUGCUACUGCUUUGGCAGCUGGACAUGAGCUGCCCCAGCUGCUGCAGAUGGACUGGCUGGCACCCAGCUCCUGGAACAUGGAAAAAGAUGGAGUGGAGCAGCGCCUUGAUCCCUGUCUCUGAGAAAGGAAAUAAUUUACUCCUGGUACUGCUGUUAAUUGUCAAAUAGAGCCACAGUGGCAUAUUGGGUAGCCCUGGUCCUGGAAAAAGGAUGUGUUGUCUUUGGCCAUUCCUUCCUGCAGUGCUAAGCUAUUCCACAGCCACUCCUGCUCUCCUCCAGACCCUCCUGUCCUGCUCCGCACUGGGAUUUGGGAGCUGUCCCGUGGAGACAAGUGUGACACAAACUAGGGUGAAGCUGGAGCAGGGACAGGGGGUGCUCCAGAGAGCCUGGGAGGCAUUGACUACCUCAUUAGGACAGCGCUUUUGAGUUGCAAGGCAGCCUCCAAGCACAUAAACCCCAUACGGGUUAAUUAACAGGAUGAAAAAUCCAUGGAGCCGCUGCUCUGGGUUCCCUGGUCUCGCUCCUACUGUCCAGCAUCCUGCAGGGCUGGCACCUCCCACUGCCCAUGGAGCUCAGCUGGGGUUCCAGCAGCCCUUGGCCACUCUAAGCUCGAGGGAGCCAUGGAUGGGGACCCAAAAACCCUGAGCCGUAGCCCCUGCCAGGCCUUGGAAGGGGAACCAGGCUCCCUUCCAUGCCAGGGCUGUGCCUCCUGCCUGGAACAAACUGGGAAUGUUUAACAGGGCUGCUGGCACAUCUCCCAGUCUUGAGAGCCGUGAAACCAUAACCCUGGGAUGUUUCCCCCACAGGGCCAGGCAAGGCUGAGUGGACAGGAGGAAGGUGCCUGCAGGUGGGAAUGCCCCACCAGUGCCCCUCUGCAAUGUGCUCGCCGUGUCUACCUGCAAAGCUAAGGAGCAGCUGGAAGUGCAAGGAAGAGCCUGGAGCAUCUGGGAAAGCUUAACCCAGCCAUAGCUGUGGGCACACAGGAGACUGGAGAGGUUUGGAAAAGAGUGUGGCAGGGGCUGGCUGCUCCAGACCCCAGGAUUGCCUGAUCUGGGGAGCACCAGGGCAGCCUUUGCAGCCUCCAGCCCUGCAAGAAUCUCAUUUUGGGUCAGCUGCUCCCUCCAGGCAGAGCUCCCACUGACAGAAGGGGAAUUUUCCUUUAAGAAGGUUCAGUGGAGGAUUUUAUUGGGCCACAUUAAGAUGUAUUCACUCAGUGCUGAAAUCCUUCUCUGGGUAAGUUCUUGCGCCCUGCAGAGUGAUGAGAGCUGCUCACACACCUCCCAUAUCAUGGGAUCCCCUGCUCCAGGCCAGGGCAGUGACACAGGUCUUGCCACAGCACUGCCUGACCACUUCUGUGACAUCCAUAAAUGUCCCUGGAGUAAAUUCCUGGCAUCUAGGCAGGAAGGGAUGGUGAAGGCAUGAGCUGGCAAACCUUGGGACAGGAGAGCAGUCAGGCAGAAUUGCUGGGUGGCCCCUUGGGCUUGAUUUUUCAUUUUGUGUGAAGCACAGUCUCCUGUCUGGAGGUAUUUUUGUUUUGUUUUUCAGACAGCCACUUCACGAUUUGAAAAGCAUCACCUGAGAAUCUGCUGAGCUCCACAGACUUGUGAGAGGCCUUGCCUGUGAGUCAGUGCAGCAGGGAGCAGUGAAACACGUCACCCAGCUGUGCUGCCUGCUCACUGGGGCCUCGAAUGCUUUAUUUCAUUAGCACCAGCUCGCUGGGGAGGGCUCUGCAUGUUCAGCACUGCUGGAACUUCUCACUGCCCAAGUGGCUCAUUUAAUGGACUGAAUUUCUUAACAAGACCGAUAACCAGUGUAUCUAAUGUUCCUUCUGGGGCUCUCACUCGUUUCAUUCCUCAGCAGAAUCGGGUAGGUCAAGAGCUCUCCUGCAUUAGCGAAAGAUGUUCCACCUUCCUUAUUAUCCACUGUUCCCUGCAAAGAUUCUUUUAAACUCUCAAGGGAAAAACUACCUUUGAUUUACUUUUUUUUUUCUUCCUCUCCCUUUCCUUCUUCAGUGGAAAAACAUUUAUUGCUACUUCAAAAGACAAGACAACUGCUCUGAUUGUGGUAGGGGUCCACAUCCAGGUCUCGUGAGACUCAGAUCAUCAGCCUCCCCACACCUGAGGACUAGGAGAAGGAAGGUUUUGUUGUGUGCCGGCAGUAAAUCAAUUUUUUUUCAUGGUCACUACCCAGUUGUCACCAAAACUGUGGGAAAACCAAAAUUCUUCAACAACAUUUUCAAUGUAAGAGGAUCAAGGCAUUACUUUAUUCUGGCCAGGAUGUUGUUCUGGCCAGGAUGUACAAAACGUAAUUUCAUCCACACAUUGCCCAGGUGUGCAGAGAAAAUAAUUCCAUCACUCUUGAAUUUUACUAGAUUUUUCAGGUACUUACAUGGUCAAAACCCAGCAAAAUGCAUAGUUCAAUGUACACUGGUCCCAUGUUGCACAGUUUUCAGUAUUCAGUUUCCUAUUGGUUACAAUCUCUUCACUUUUGAUAUUAAUUAGGUUCUCAUUCUUGGUUUUCUUCUCUCUCUUCUCCCAGACCGGGUAUCUCCCGACCAUGCCAGGGGUGAUGUUUGGAGUUAAUGGUUGUUAGUGGUUGUUGAUGGUCAUUAUCUUUUGUGUAUCUUCUGUGCUGCUCUCAGUCUGUUGAGAUGUUAAACUCAUCCGACCCCACCUGGAGGAACAGCCCCCUGAAAAGAAACUUCAAUUCCCUUCCCCUCGGGCAAAGGUGAACAAACCUGACUGAAGCUAUAAAAUAAAACCAUUUAAACUUGC